AGGGCAGAAGAAGGAGAAGGGGAAGGGAGGGAGGGAAGAGGAGGGGAGGAAAGGGGGAGAGAGAAAGAAACAGAACAGGAAAGAGGGGACAGAGGGAAAAGGGGCAGGGACAGAGAAAUAAGGAAGAGGGGAUGGGAGAAAGGAAAAGAACGGAGACAGGAAAGUAAGGAGACAGGGAGACCCCAGAGCCAGGGAAGGGAAAUGGGGAGACAGUAAAUGACUGAGUCAUCCUGGUGGUGGUUCAGGUCCACACGUGGCAUCCUAGCCCCGCCCACCACUCCACAGACCUCUCUUACUCUGUGCCCCUUCACUUGUGAAUCAUCU
rnacentral:lncRNA from 1 species